UGCUUGUGAUAUGUGCGUUUUUUUAAUUGUUUAUUUAAUUGUAAUGGACACUCUUUGUAUUAUACACCAACACGUAUUAUGAACGCAUUACCAGUCAUGUGUAAUUGUUCAUUUAAUUGUAAUGGUCACUCUUUAUAUCAUACGCCAACACAUAUUAUGCAUUAGCUCGAUUGACUACCCUAAUUGUCAUAUCUCCUUAUGUUUCCACUAAAAGAUUUGUUAAUGAUUUCUUUGUCAAACCGUAUAAUAACUAUUUUCACCAAAGAAUCCGUCAUCAUGAUAUGAUAUAAUCCCCUCUAAUUCGAAGUAUUAAACAUCUCAAUCAUACACGAUUUGGCAAGAUCCCCUCAAAAUAGAAAAAAGUGGUUAGUUAAAAAGGUGAUUAAUUCCAAAGUCAAAUUCAUAUAUUCAUAUAAUAAUAAUAAUUAAUACCAAAUCCUAAUCAAAAAAUCAAAUCAUAUUAUUAUCGUUAUUAUUAUGGAGUAAUUAAAUUUUAAAAAAAGCUAAUAUUUCUGACCUAAAAAAUGGACCAUAAAUACUCAUCUACCCCCAUUAAAAUCAAUGUUUUUAUUAGUUCACCUACCAUUAAAAAAAUAUUAAUAAUCUUAUUUUUGAAAUUCAAAAAUUAAAUAGAAUAGCAUCUUUAAUUCACACUCAUCUUGAUUCUUGCCCCCCUCUUCCCAUCCUUCCCAACUCAUCCUCAUAAAUACCCAAAACAUUGAUAGGUUUUAAUAUCAUUUCCUUUUUGCCCUACACCCAUUUCCCCCUAUUUUGCAUUGGUUGUUGGCCAAUAUUAAUUUCACCAAUUCAUUCUUUAAAAUUUCAUAAACCGUUCAUUCUCUAAAAUUUCAAAAACCAUUCAUUCUCCUCCUUCAUUUCUCCAAUUCUCUCCCUAUAUCAAUCCUCUAAAUUCCUAAAUAUCUUAAAACACAAUCUCGAGCUGAAUCGCUCGAGUUUAUCAGAUGUACGCAACUUUACCCCUACACGUCCAGAAAGAUCCUUUUCCAAUACUAGCUACACAUUUUUUUUUUCUUUUAUCCCCUUUUUAGGUUGUUUUUACACAUUUUUUUAUUUGCUUAAACGUGCAUGGGAUAUUGGUACGAUUCAAUCAGAAAACCGAGUUCUCAUAUUAGAGAUCGCGGUGUAUUUGAUUGAGCCGCGCCAAUAUCCCGUGUGAGAUGUAUUAACUUGUUUAUUUUAUGCAGAAUUUUGGAGAGCAACAUUGCCUUUUCUUGUUCUUAGCCAACGGUUAGUCAUUUUUAUUGGUGUAUAUAUUUUUUUUUGUUUUUUUUUUAUGAAAUUAUGAAAUAUUGGUGGAAAGUAGGUCAUUCAUUUAUGGUUAUUCAAUUCGAGGAGAUAAGUAGUAAAUUUUAGACAGAAAAUGUAGAGAAUUGAUUUUUUAUUUUAAACAGUAUAAAUCAAUGAGUAUAUAUUUAUUAUAUGACUUUGUUAAAUGUCGCAUUAUGUUAUGGAUUGCUACGUAGACGUUUAAACCAUGGUGUAGGUGACAAGAUUGAUAGUAGUAGAGAUCUAAUUAAAAGUAAAUUGGAGUACUCCCUAUUUUUUUUUUCUUUAAAAAUAGGUCGACGAGUGAAUUUGUCAUAAGUUCCCAACAUCGAACGAUGAGUAUGCUACUUCUAUUUAAUAGCAUCGUUCGAUGUGAGAAUUUGUCAUAAAGUUCAAUCAGUGAGGUCUUGGCUCAGAGAUUGAAUUGAUUAUUGUAACAGAGUGUUUUUUUUUUUGUUUUUUUUGAAUAGUUAUAUAUCACAUUGGAUUAUAAAUAAGAUGUACGGAAUAUAAACUAAACUGCUGUGUAAGGAUGACUUUACAGGCAAAGAUCCUAUGUAUCUAUACUAAUACAUUAAAAGGCAUUGUGAAAAACGUAUAUGUGUCACACAAUACUCUUCCUUUUGCGCCACAUCAUUCAUUCACCAAGUGGUAUGUCAUGUCAUGGACAACAAAAAAUCAAUACAACGAAGUUCGAACUCCAGACCUCAAAUAUAGAUGAUAACUCUUAUUACCUUCUUAAUCAACCACCAAUUGUGAUUAUCUCUUCGCAUAAAUUUAUAAAUAAAUGUUAACAUGAAGUCUAAAACAACUAUAUUGUUUAUGUGCUAUGGACUAUUUUGGAAAAAAAAAAUUAAUUAAAGAAUUAGGACAACUAUGAAGAAAUAUAGUGUCAUAAGUCUCAUAAACAUCAACUAUAGAAAUGUCCUUGCAUGGUUGCAUAAAUCUAAUUUGUUGUUUAUUAAUUUGAAUUACUUAGUUCCACUAGAAAUAAAUUAAAGUAUACAAAUUGUAAAAUGAUCUAAUUGAAAAAUUAUUUUGCAUGAUAAAUGACGUAGUGUGUCUGUUUAGUUGAAGAGCUUUAUGAAUGUAAUUCACUUUAUGGUCACAUGUAUUUUGUCAAAUAUUGAAUUCAAAAAAAAUCUAAAAUUUUAAUUAUUCACUGUAGCAAUCGGGACAUCGCCCAAACGACACACUGAUUUUUCUUUAAAAAGAGAUCGGCGUGUGAAUUUGUUAUAAAUUACCAACCACGAACUAUAAUUAUGCUACUUCAUGCUUAUAUUUAAUAGCAUCCAACGACGUGAGAAUUUGUCAUAAUUUUCAUUUUCUCUUUCUAUUAAUUAUUGUGCAUUUUAAACUUGUGCACAAAUAAUAUGGGACAACACAAGUUCGUUAAUAUUUCCGUGUAGGUGGAUAAUGGCCCGAGCCAAGUUGCACGAUCAUAUCUUAAGGUGAACAACACCCAAGUCUCCAACCCAUCAACGACAUUACGGCUGCGUUUUAUUUACCUGAUUUUCACUUAUUUUUUCUAAAUUUAUUUUUUGAACUUAUCUGAACUUAACUGAACUUAUCUGAACUUAUUAGAACUUAUUAAAACUUAUUUUAGUUAUAAAUUUUAUUUGGCCAAUUCUUAUUUUUCAUGAACUUAUCAUAUCUGAACUUAACUGAGCUUAACUGAUCAUAUUUUUUCUGAAAUAAGUAUGAAUAAGGUGAACAGAACAUGACCUACGUGGCAUAUUGGCAUGAGAGGAACAAUCAUAAUCUCCUUACCACUAAACCUCUAUCUCACCCUCGUUAAAAACGAAAUUUAUGAUAAAUCCUUGUAUAAAACUUUUGUUAUUUUAGCAACAUUGUAUAAAACUUACUCCCUCCGUCCCAAAAUCAUCUUCCUGCUUUUCUAAACGAGCGUCCUAAAAUUAUCUUCCUGUUUCUAAUUUUGGCUACUAAGGUCCCCACUUUCUCAUGUACUAUAUUAAUUAAAAUUGAAUUGAAAACCCCACCCAUGUACUAUAUUCCCUUUUCCCAUGUACUAUAUUCUAUUUCACAGAGUAAAUAGAUCCGUAGGUCCCUAAACUUUGCCAAAAGGAGCAGUUAGGUCCCUCAAGUUUCAAAAGGAGCAUUUAGGUCCCUGCGUUUGGAUGGAAUCCGCUGCUUUUUGUUUUCCGUCACUAACGUCCGUUAAAAUGCAUUUAAAUUAAAAGGAAAAUAAAUAAAAGGCACUAAACGACAAAAAAACAGUUACAUUUACCAUUUACCAAUAAUUAAAUAAAGGGAAAUUCAUUUCAGUUAGCUUUUUACAAAAAUAUAGCCGUUGAGGCUCUCAAAAAACAAAGUAUUUAGCAUUCCAUGCACAUCAAAACAACAACAAAACACUUAAACAAAAAAUUCUUUCUUCUCCAUCUUCUGCUCUGUGUUUUUUCUCUGUUGCUCCACCAUAGCUGACUCUUCUCAACAUAAAAAGAAUGAUGAACAGGGCUAUCUCUUUGUUCAACAAUGGUGAUAAUGAACACCCUAAGAGGUGCUACUGUGGAUUCACAGUAUCCAUUCAAAAGGCAUGGACAAAAGAAAAUCCUGGAAGGAGGUUCAUUGCUUGUCCAGAUUAUGAUGUUGAAACAAACAGAAGGGGUUGCAUCUUUUUUAGAUGGAUUGAUGAACAAGAACCAACAACUUGGCAAACAAUUGUCAUACUAGGGUUAAUGCAAGAUAAACAAAGCCUUGCUGCUGAAGUUGAUAGUUUUAGGACAAAACUUAGUGAAGCUAACAAUUAUGCAAGGAAGAGGGAGGCAGACUAUGUGAUGAGCAAGAUGAGAAGACCUAUUAGUGUGAAAUGUGAAGUGUGGGUUGUAAUCCUAGUGGUUCUGUUUUUUUUUAUCUGGUUUGUUUUAAGUUAAGUGGGUUAAGUGGGUAGGUAAAAUGUAAUGAUCUGCACUAAUGAAAUGUAAUGAAGACUUUAAAUUCAAUAAAAUCUAACCUCAUGGUCUUUUUUCUAA